rnacentral:lncRNA from 1 species
UCUGCUACAACAAGGAAAUGAGCCCCAGUAAGUCAUACUGUGACGAUUUCUACAAAUACACCUACCCCUGCACUCCUGGUGCCGAAUACUAUGGCCGUGGUGCAUUGCCUAUCUUCUGGUAAGCAUCUUUGCCUAUAAUUUGAUGGGGAGUUUUGGUUGAGCCAAUCCCAAAAUGAAGGAAUUUUCUGGUGUGAUUUAGAUUAAGCGUUGUUAUGACAGGAACUACAACUAUGGAGCAACUGGAGAAGCCUUGAAGGUGAAUCUGCUGGACCAUCCAGAAUACAUCGAACAAAAUGCUACCUUGGCCUUCCAGGCUGCAAUUUGGAGGUGGAUGACCCCAGUUAAGAAGUCACAGCCUUCUGCACAUGACGUCUUUGUUGGCAACUGGAAGCCCACCAAGAAUGACACUUUGGCCAAGCGGGUGCCUGGUUUUGGAACCACAAUGAACAUUCUAUACGGGGACCAGGUUUGCGGGCAGGGCGACGUUGAUUCCAUGAACAACAUCAUCUCCCAUUACCAAUAUUACCUCGACCUGUUGGGUGUUGGUAGAGAACAGGCAGGACCCCACGAAAACGUCACCUGUGCUGAGCAGAUUGCAUUCAACCCAUCCUACACUGCAUCCUCUUAAGCUCCAUAUGAUCACCCCUUGGAUGGAUUAUGAAAUAAGAAAGGGCAAGUAAGAUUGUAAGAGAUGUGUGAAGUUAGACAUGACAGGUGUUAUAAGGUGUGGAUUCAGUUGCUGCUGCGCGCUUCUGUCAUUUAUGUGUAGAUUUUGGCGUUCAUUUUGUGUAAUGUGUAGUCAUUAAAUAUGAAUUGUAUGAAGCAUUUUAUUCAUAUAUAUUUGUUUCAACUGUGAAGACCUUUCAGAAGUUGCAGUGUGCCUGAAAUGGUAGUAGUAGAGGAACCAAUGGUCUAUAAUGGAAACCUCAAAGAUGAGUUAUUCACAAUAAAUGAUGGUGUGAUACCUGAAGGAACAUCAAAUU